AUUAGUGGCGAACGGGUGAGUAACACGUGGGCAAUCUGCCCUUCACUCUGGGACAAGCCCUGGAAACGGGGUCUAAUACCGGAUAACACUUCCGUCCUCCUGGACGGUGGUUAAAAGCUCCGGCGGUGAAGGAUGAGCCCGCGGCCUAUCAGCUUGUUGGUGAGGUAAUGGCUCACCAAGGCGACGACGGGUAGCCGGCCUGAGAGGGCGACCGGCCACACUGGGACUGAGACACGGCCCAGACUCCUACGGGAGGCAGCAGUGGGGAAUAUUGCACAAUGGGCGAAAGCCUGAUGCAGCGACGCCGCGUGAGGGAUGACGGCCUUCGGGUUGUAAACCUCUUUCAGCAGGGAAGAAGCGAAAGUGACGGUACCUGCAGAAGAAGCGCCGGCUAACUACGUGCCAGCAGCCGCGGUAAUACGUAGGGCGCAAGCGUUGUCCGGAAUUAUUGGGCGUAAAGAGCUCGUAGGCGGCUUGUCACGUCGGUUGUGAAAGCCCGGGGCUUAACCCCGGGUCUGCAGUCGAUACGGGCAGGCUAGAGUGUGGUAGGGGAGAUCGGAAUUCCUGGUGUAGCGGUGAAAUGCGCAGAUAUCAGGAGGAACACCGGUGGCGAAGGCGGAUCUCUGGGC
rnacentral:rRNA from 1 species